ACUUGUCCGUUUCAACAAUUCUCAACACAACAAGAUCUCUGUAACCAAUGCAAAUAAAUCAUAAGUUAUUUUCAACUACACUCACCAAUCUAAAAAGAACAAAUUAAAAAAAUCCAAAUUAUGUAACGUAAUACUAAGCAACGUAGUACUCAUCCAACCGAAUUAAAAAAAUAUAUCGUCGAGAAAUUAAUUGAGACUUGCAAUUUCAAUAUUCGUUUAUAUACGUAGGUAUAUUGGCAUCCAUGUGUAUGUCAGACCAAUAUCUAGUUAUUUGAUAAAGGUUUUAGUAUGUUCAGAGAGUAAAUUUUAUAGCAAUUGAGAUUGAUUCUAGAUUUUUUAUCAUGAAUUGGCACCAAUUACUCCUCCUGUUGAUCGUGAUGCAAUGCAGCUUGCUGGCGUGGUGUGCACCGUCAGGGAACCAUAUUUUCUGUGAUGACUACAAAGUUAAGGCUGUAACAGAAAACAAUGAGAGACUGAAGUUGACUACGGCGAGACAAGAAGAAAACUCGGAUGAUGACGGGUUGAACGAUGAAAAACCGUCUUUGUGGUGUUGACUUUUCUACUUAGUGACGAUGGUGUGGUCGAGCGAAGACGGUCGCCGAUCGUUCACGAUCAAACGAGAUUCGCUUUUCAGCCUGUUCGGAAGAGAGCAUAAACCUCGGAAAAUCAACCACUUUGGCCACUUACCUUCAUUAGUUAAAGGAAAAUAAACUAUUCAAAACUGUACAAUUUUUUUACAAUUUUUUCUUACAAGCUAUGAAGCUACGAUUCGCUGCCAUGGGAAUUACAGGAAAAUCACUAUGCUCCAUGUUAUAACCCUGUAUACGA